AGUGGGAUAGCUGGGUCAAAUGUUUCCAUUCCAAGUUUUCUGAGGAAUCUCCAUACUGUUUUCCAGAGUAGUUGCACCAAUCUGCAGUCCCACCAGCAAU
rnacentral:pre_miRNA from 1 species